GUGAGUAAAGUAUCGGAACGUGCCCAGUCGUGGGGGAUAACGCAGCGAAAGUUGUGCUAAUACCGCAUACGAUCUAUGGAUGAAAGCGGGGGAUCGCAAGACCUCGCGCGAUUGGAGCGGCCGAUAUCAGAUUAGCUAGUUGGUGAGGUAAAGGCUCACCAAGGCGACGAUCUGUAGCUGGUCUGAGAGGACGACCAGCCACACUGGGACUGAGACACGGCCCAGACUCCUACGGGAGGCAGCAGUGGGGAAUUUUGGACAAUGGGCGCAAGCCUGAUCCAGCAAUGCCGCGUGCAGGAUGAAGGCCUUCGGGUUGUAAACUGCUUUUGUACGGAGCGAAAAGGCUCUCUCUAAUACAGGGGGCUCAUGACGGUACCGUAAGAAUAAGCACCGGCUA
rnacentral:rRNA from 1 species